rnacentral:rRNA from 1 species
GAUGAACGCUGGCGGCGUGCCUAAUACAUGCAAGUCGAGCGAACGGACGAGAAGCUUGCUUCUCUGAUGUUAGCGGCGGACGGGUGAGUAACACGUGGAUAACCUACCUAUAAGACUGGGAUAACUUCGGGAAACCGGAGCUAAUACCGGAUGAUAUUUUGAACCGCAUGGUUCAAAAGUGAAAGACGGUCUUGCUGUCACUUAUAGCUGGAUCCGCGCUGCAUUAGCUAGUUGGUAAGGUAACGGCUUACCAAGGCAACGAUGCAUAGCCGACCUGAGAGGGUGAUCGGCCACACGGGAACUGAGACACGGUCCAGACUCCUACGGGAGGCAGCAGUAGCGAAUCUUCCGCAAUGGGCGAAAGCCUGACGGAGCAACGCCGCGUGAGUGAUGAAGGUCUUCGGAUCGUAAAAAUCUGUUAUUAGGGAAGAACAUAUGUGUAAGUAACUGUGCACAUCUUGACGGUACCUAAUCAGAAAGCCACGGCUAACUACGUG